UUGAACGCUGGCGGCAGGCCUAACACAUGCAAGUCGAACGGUAACAGGAAGCAGCUUGCUGUUUCGCUGACGAGUGGCGGACGGGUGAGUAAUGUCUGGGAAACUGCCUGAUGGAGGGGGAUAACUACUGGAAACGGUAGCUAAUACCGCAUAACGUCGCAAGACCAAAGAGGGGGACCUUCGGGCCUCUUGCCAUCGGAUGUGCCCAGAUGGGAUUAGCUAGUAGGUGGGGUAACGGCUCACCUAGGCGACGAUCCCUAGCUGGUCUGAGAGGAUGACCAGCCACACUGGAACUGAGACACGGUCCAGACUCCUACGGGAGGCAGCAGUGGGGAAUAUUGCACAAUGGGCGCAAGCCUGAUGCAGCCAUGCCGCGUGUAUGAAGAAGGCCUUCGGGUUGUAAAGUACUUUCAGCGGGGAGGAAGGGAGUAAAGUUAAUACCUUUGCUCAUUGACGUUACCCGCAGAAGAAGCACCGGCUAACUCCGUGCCAGCAGCCGCGGUAAUACGGAGGGUGCAAGCGUUAAUCGGAAUUACUGGGCGUAAAGCGCACGCAGGCGGUUUGUUAAGUCAGAUGUGAAAUCCCCGGGCUCAACCUGGGAACUGCAUCUGAUACUGGCAAGCUUGAGUCUCGUAGAGGGGGGUAGAAUUCCAGGUGUAGCGGUGAAAUGCGUAGAUAUUAGGAGGAACACCAGUGGCGAAGGCGACUUUCUGGACAGUAACUGACGUUGAGGCACGAAAGUGUGGGGAGCAAACAGGAUUAGAUACCCUGGUAGUCCACGCCGUAAACGAUGUCGACUUGGAGGUUGUGCCCUUGAGGCGUGGCUUCCGGAGCUAACGCGUUAAGUCGACCGCCUGGGGAGUACGGCCGCAAGGUUAAAACUCAAAUGAAUUGACGGGGGCCCGCACAAGCGGUGGAGCAUGUGGUUUAAUUCGAUGCAACGCGAAGAACCUUACCUGGUCUUGACAUCCACAGAACUUUCCAGAGAUGGAUUGGUGCCUUCGGGAACUGUGAGACAGGUGCUGCAUGGCUGUCGUCAGCUCGUGUUGUGAAAUGUUGGGUUAAGUCCCGCAACGAGCGCAACCCUUAUCCUUUGUUGCCAGCGGUCCGGCCGGGAACUCAAAGGAGACUGCCAGUGAUAAACUGGAGGAAGGUGGGGAUGACGUCAAGUCAUCAUGGCCCUUACGACCAGGGCUACACACGUGCUACAAUGGCGCAUACAAAGAGAAGCGACCUCGCGAGAGCAAGCGGACCUCAUAAAGUGCGUCGUAGUCCGGAUUGGAGUCUGCAACUCGACUCCAUGAAGUCGGAAUCGCUAGUAAUCGUGGAUCAGAAUGCCACGGUGAAUACGUUCCCGGGCCUUGUACACACCGCCCGUCACACCAUGGGAGUGGGUUGCAAAAGAAGUAGGUAGCUUAACCUUCGGGAGGGCGCUUACCACUUUGUGAUUCAUGACUGGGGUG
rnacentral:rRNA from 1 species